AUUGAACGCUGGCGGCAUGCUUUACACAUGCAAGUCGAACGGUAACAGGCCGCAAGGUGCUGACGAGUGGCGAACGGGUGAGUAAUGCAUCGGAACGUGCCCAGUCGUGGGGGAUAACGCAGCGAAAGCUGCGCUAAUACCGCAUACGAUCUCUGGAUGAAAGCGGGGGACCGAAAGGCCUCGCGCGAUUGGAGCGGCCGAUGUCAGAUUAGGUAGUUGGUGGGGUAAAGGCCCACCAAGCCAACGAUCUGUAGCUGGUCUGAGAGGACGACCAGGCACACUGGGACUGAGACACGGCCCAGACUCCUACGGGAGGAAGGAGUGGGGAAUUUUGGACAAUGGGCGCAAGCCUGAUCCAGCAAUGCCGCGUGCAGGAAGAAGGCCUUCGGGUUGUAAACUGCUUUUGUACGGAACGAAACGGUCCGGGCUAAUACCCUGGGCUAAUGACGGUACCGUAAGAAUAAGCACCGGCUAACUACGUGCCAGCAGCCGCAGUAAAAC
rnacentral:rRNA from 1 species